GGGCCGGUAGUUCAGUUUGGGAGAACACCUCGUUCGCACUGAGGAGGUCGGGGGUUCGAGUCCCCUCCGGUCCA
rnacentral:tRNA from 1 species